CGCCUCUUGACUAACUAUAAGAGACCCAGCCUGCCCACUGAAACUUUAUUUAACGGCCGCGGUACCCUAACCGUGCUAAGGUAGCACAAUCACUCGUCCUCUAAAUAGGGACUAGUAUCAACGGCACCACGAAGACUAUACUGUCUCCUUUCUACAAUCAGUGAAACUGAUCUCCCCGUGAAAAAGCGAGGAUUAUAUUAUAAGACGAGAAGACCCCAUGAAGCUUCAAACUAAAUACCAACUGCCACCUAAAAACCACUAGAGGCUAUGCAGACCUGACUAUCAAAUUUUGGUUGGGGCAACCGCGGAGCAAAAUAAAACCUCCACAACAUAUUUAAACUGGCCUGCUACCACGUAAUUCACGAACAACACUUCUAAAAAUCAAUACAUUGCCCCCUGAUCCAAGUCUAAUCUAUAUGCCAGUCUUGAUCUAAGAACCAAGUUACUCUGGGGAUAACAGCGCAAUCUAUUUCAAGAGUCCCUAUCGACAAAUAGGUUUACGACCUCGAUGUUGGAUCAGGGUACCCCAGUGGUGCAGUCGCCACUAACGGUUCGUUUGUUCAACGAUUCAAACCCCU
rnacentral:rRNA from 1 species